AAUAAACCGCCAAGCAUGCGCAGAACCGACUACGUUAAGGAAGUGAGCAUGCGCGUUGAUAAAAGUCAGAUUAAAGAGAAAGAGAAGAUGGCGGCAUCAACGGAAACGUUGAAAGUAAACUGGGAAUCGGUCGAUCGAUUGAAGAGCAUUCUCAGUGAUCCAUUUUAUAAAGAUGCCAUUGAAAAUUCUGCUAGUUAUAAUACUCGUCUUCGUGUAGAAAGGAAAAUGAGAUUACCAUUUUUAGAUGCACAAACAGGUGUUGCUCAGAGUGACUGUGCUCUAUGGAUGCAAAAGUGGCAAAGAAUGCCAGGAAUGAAUGAUGGACAGCUAUAUACUUAUCCUGCAAAAAGAUGGAGGAAGAAGAGAAGACAGUAUCUUAUGAAUGAUCGCUAUUUAACUUGUCGUACUAAGGAAACAGAUACCAAUGAAACAGAUAUGCACCAAAUAAGUGUCAUGGAAAACUCUGCUGCACAAGUUGAAGGAGAUGUAGAAAGUGCUGACAAAUUAACAGAAGAUUCAAAAGAUUCUUGGUAUAAAGAUUUUGAUGAAGCUAGUGAUCCUCCAGAUAUUGGAGAACUAGAUGAUGGUGAUUCUGAUUAUGAUGAGUAUGAAGAUUCAUAUUUAAGAAAAAAGAAAAGAAAGGUACGGAAUACUCGGUCAAAGAAGAAAACAGAACGCAAUGAUUACAGUGCAGAAACAGAAAAACCCUAUAGUUGUGAACUUUGUGGUGCUCGCUACAAGACUCGUCCAGGCCUAUCUUAUCACUAUAUGCAUAGUCACAAUAGUGUAUCAGCAGAAAACACAGAGGAGGAUUCAAGCAAUGCACCUUCUAAUGCAUCACCUUCAUGUCAUGUGACAGGAUCAACACCACCUUCAGCUGGACCUUCCAGUGACAAUCCACUUGCAGUUUGCAUGCUGCAAUGGUAAGAUACCAACUGUAAUGAUCUUCUCUAACUUUUGUUCUUCUGUCACGAUAAAAAUGUUUGUUGAAAUUCAUGAUAUGAUAUACAGUAGAACCUUCAUCAACUGCACAAAUUGGGAUCAAGAGUGCUACAAUUGUGCAAGGUCAGAAGAGUGCCUCUGGAAAAUCUGGAGUAUCUGCGAGUCCUUAUUGUGAUUUCUGUCUAGGUGAUAAUGUAGAAAAUAAAAAGACGAGACAGGCUGAAGAACUUGUUUCAUGUGCUGAUUGUGGCAGAUCAGG
rnacentral:misc_RNA from 1 species